rnacentral:tRNA from 1 species
AAAAUCCGCCAACUUUAGAAAUCCGGAGGGUUCAAGUCCCUCUAUCCCCA